UACGUAGGUGGCGAGCGUUGUCCGGAUUUAUUGGGUUUAAAGGGUGCGUAGGCGUCCCUGCAAGUUUUAGGUGAAAUGCCCAAGCUCAACUUGGGAGCUGCCUGAAAAACUGCCGGGAUUGAGUACAGAUGAGGUAGGCGGAAUUGACGGUGUAGCGGUGAAAUGCAUAGAUAUCGUCAAGAACACCGAUAGCGAAGGCAGCUUACUAGGCUGUAACUGACGCUGAUGCACGAAAGUGUGGGGAUCAAACAGGAUUAGAAACCCCUGUAGUCC
rnacentral:rRNA from 1 species